rnacentral:misc_RNA from 1 species
AAGUCGUAACAAGGUUUCCGUAGGUGAACCUGCGGAAGGAUCAUUAUUGAAAUAAACCUGAUGGGUUGUUGCUGGUUCUCUAGGGAGCAUGUGCACGCCUUGUCAUCUUUAUAUCUCCACCUGUGCACCUUUUGUAGAUCUUUCAGGUCUAUGUUUGCUUCAUUUACACACAAUGCAUGUUAAUAGAAUGUUGUGCCUAUGUAAUAUAUACAACUUUCAGCAACGGAUCUCUUGGCUCUCGCAUCGAUGAAGAACGCAGCGAAAUGCGAUAAGUAAUGUGAAUUGCAGAAUUCAGUGAAUCAUCGAAUCUUUGAACGCACCUUGCGCUCCUUGGUAUUCCGAGGAGCAUGCCUGUUUGAGUGUCAUUAAUACAUAUAUAUCAGCCCUCUCUUGUUGAGUGGUUUGGAUGUGGGGGUUUGCUGGCCUCUUAAAAGGGGUUCAGCUCUCCUGAAAUGCAUUAGCAGAACAACCUGUUCAUUGGUGUGAUAACUAUCUACGCUAUUGAAUGUGAAGGGAAGUUCGGCUUUCUAACAGUCUUUCCUCGGACAAUUUACAUCAUUAAUGUGACCUCAAAUCAGGUAGGACUACCCGCUGAACUUAAGCAUAUCAAUAAGCGGAGGAAAAGAAACUAACAAGGAUUCCCCUAGUAACUGCGAGUGAAGCGGGAAAAGCUCAAAUUUAAAAUCUGGCGGUCUUUUGGCUGUCCGAGUUGUAAUCUAGAGAA